rnacentral:rRNA from 1 species
AUGAACGCUGGCGGCGUGCCUAAUACAUGCAAGUCGGGCGAACGGACGAGAAGCUUGCUUCUCUGAUGUUAUUGGCGGACGGGUGAGUAACACGUGGAUAACCUACCUAUAAGACUGGGAUAACUUCGGGAAACCGGAGCUAAUACCGGAUAAUAUUUUGAACCGCAUGGUUCAAAAGUGAAAGACGGUCUUGCUGUCACUUAUAGAUGGAUCCGCGCUGCAUUAGCUAGUUGGUAAGGUAACGGCUUACCAAGGCAACGAUGCAUAGCCGACCUGAGAGGGUGAUCGGCCACACUGGAACUGAGACACGGUCCAGACUCCUACGGGAGGCAGCAGUAGGGAAUCUUCCGCAAUGGGCGAAAGCCUGACGGAGCAACGCCGCGUGAGUGAUGAAGGUCUUCGGAUCGUAAAACUCUGUUAUUAGGGAAGAACAUAUGUGUAAGUAACUGUGCACAUCUUGACGGUACCUAAUCAGAAAGCCACGGCUAACUACGUG